AAUAUGAAGUUAUAGUCAAAAGGCUAUGUGAUGUUUUUCAGGUCCUGUAGACCAGGGCUGCCCAACCCUCUUCCUGGAGAUCUACCGUCCUUUUUCAGUCCAACCCUAAUUCAACACACCUGAUUUGACUAAUUAGCUGCUCAACAAGACCUUAACCAGCUGAAUCAGAUAUGCUCAAUUAGGGUUGGACUGAAAACCUACAGGAGAGUAGAUCUGGGGCUGUCCUGCUCUAACCGCUAGCCUAACUGCCACUAUACAUCUGCAUUUGACAGUUGAGGCACUAGCAUCAUGCAGGCGUGGCACAACCUGACUUUAGAAAAAUGUUCUUAUGUCCUGAUGUUACCACAAGCCCGUCCUCCCCAUUUAAGAUAACAAUGGAAUAAAGCAUGAUGGGGACUGAGGCUGAGAUUGAGACUACAGAGAAAGGGGUCAGCCAGGUUACCGUACCUGCACACAUGACCUCUAUACCUACAACUACAAAAGCAAAUGUCUUUAGGGAGUAUGCGAGCACAGACGUUCCUUUGCCUAGCCGAGUUCUGCUAGGAGCAAGCCAAACCUGCAUGCGGACACCUUUAGAGAACUGAUUAUGCUGUUUGUGGUUGACAUGCACAUUUUGUUACAGUUUCAUAUAGUUUUGUUAAGCCUUUUUUUAAAGCCAUAUAAGCAGAGCAAAAUAAAAACAUUUCAAAUGUGGUUU
rnacentral:lncRNA from 1 species